CCUACGGGUGGCAGCAGUGGGGAAUAUUGCACAAUGGGCGCAAGCCUGAUGCAGCCAUGCCGCGUGUAUGAAGAAGGCCUUCGGGUUGUAAAGUACUUUCAGCGGGGAGGAAGGCGAUAAGGUUAAUAGCCUUGUCGAUUGACGUUACCCGCAGAAGAAGCACCGGCUAACUCCGUGCCAGCAGCCGCGGUAAUACGGAGGGUGCAAGCGUUAAUCGGAAUUACUGGGCGUAAAGCGCACGCAGGCGGUCUGUCAAGUCGGAUGUGAAAUCCCCGGGCUCAACCUGGGAACUGCAUUCGAAACUGGCAGGCUAGAGUCUUGUAGAGGGGGGUAGAAUUCCAGGUGUAGCGGUGAAAUGCGUAGAGAUCUGGAGGAAUACCGGUGGCGAAGGCGGCAACCUGGCUCGAUACUGACGCUGAGGCGCGAAAGCGUGGGGAGCAAACAGGAUUAGAUACCCCAGUAGUC
rnacentral:rRNA from 1 species